UAAUCUUGAGUACAGUUGAGGCGAGUGGAAUGUGUAGUGUAGCGGUGAAAUGCAUAGAUACUACACAGAACACCAAUUGCGAAGGCAGCUCGCUAAGCUGUUACUGACGCUCAGGCACGAAAGCGUGGGGAGCGAACAGGAUUAGAUACCCUGGUAGUCCACGCUGUAAACUAUGAUCACUAGCUGUUGGCGAUAAAUUGUCAGUGGCUCAGCGAAAGCGUUAAGUGAUCCACCUGGGGAGUACGAUCGCAAGGUUGAAACUCAAAGGAAUUGACGGGGGCCCGCACAAGCGGUGGAACAUGUGGUUUAAUUCGAUGAUACGCGAGGAACCUUACCUGGGCUUAAAUGUAGCGCGACGUCUCGAGAAAUCGGGAUUCCCUUCGGGGCGAACUACAAGGUGCUGCAUGGUUGUCGUCAGCUCGUGCCGUGAGGUAUCGGGUUAAGUCCCAUAACGAGCGCAACCCUUAUUGUUAGUUGCCAGCGGAUAAUGCCGGGGACUCUAACAAAACUGCCCGUGUAAACGGGAGGAAGGUGGGGAUGACGUCAAAUCAGCACGGCCCUUAUGUCCAGGGCUACACACGUGUUACAAUGGCUGGAACAAAGGGCAGCUACCACGCAAGUGGAUGCUAAUCUCUAAAUCCAGUCCCAGUUCGGAUCGAAGUCUGCAAUUCGACUUCGUGAAGAUGGAAUCGCUAGUAAUCGCGCAUCAGCAAUGGCGCGGUGAAUAUGUUCCCGGGCCUUGUACACACUGCCCGUCAAGCCAUGGAAGUUAGUAGUACCUGAAGUCCGUAACCGAAAGGAGCGGCCUAGGGUAAGACUAAUGA
rnacentral:rRNA from 1 species